CCUACGGGCGGCAGCAGUGGGGAAUAUUGGGCAAUGGGCGCAAGCCUGACCCAGUAACGCCGCGUGAAGGAAGAAGGCUUUCGGGUUGUAAACUUCUUUUCUCAGGGACGAAGAAAGUGACGGUACCUGCGGAAUAAGCCACGGCUAACUACGUGCCAGCAGCCGCGGUAAUACGUAGGUGGCAAGCGUUGUCCGGCUUUACUGGGUGUAAAGGGCGUGUAGGCGGGGAAGCAAGUCAGAUGUGAAAACCACGGGCUCAACCUGUGGCCUGCAUUUGAAACUGUUUUUCUUGAGUACUGGAGAGGGAGACGGAAUUCGGAGUGUAGCGGUGAAAUGCGUAGAUAUUAGGAGGAACACCAGUGGCGAAGGCGGUAUGCUGGACAGCAACUGACGCUGAGGCGCGAAAGCGUGGGGAGCAAACAGGAUUAGAUACCCGAGUAGUC
rnacentral:rRNA from 1 species